rnacentral:rRNA from 1 species
UAAUUGAAGAGUUUGAUCAUGGCUCAGAUUGAACGCUGGCGGCAGGCCUAACACAUGCAAGUCGAGCGGCAGCACAGAGGAACUUGUUCCUUGGGUGGCGAGCGGCGGACGGGUGAGUAAUGCCUGGGAAAUUGCCCGGUAGAGGGGGAUAACCAUUGGAAACGAUGGCUAAUACCGCAUAACCUCG